CACAUGGGGACCCCUCCCCCUAGUGAGGAAAUGUACCCCUGAAGAGGCAUCCUCCUGGCCACUGGGCCCACUGCUACCCUGCCACUGCUGGACCCAAAGGAGACAACAUUUAUGAAUGGAGGUCAACUAUAUUGGGACCCCCAGGAUCUGUCUAUGAAGGAGGGGUGUUCUUUCUUGACAUUACCUUUUCACCAGACUAUCCGUUUAAACCCCCUAAGGUUACCUUCCGAACAAGAAUCUAUCACUGUAAUAUUAACAGCCAAGGUGUGAUCUGUCUGGACAUCUUAAAGGACAACUGGAGUCCGGCUUUAACUAUUUCUAAAGUUCUCCUCUCCAUCUGCUCACUUCUUACAGAUUGCAACCCU
rnacentral:lncRNA from 1 species